UUGGCUUUGAAUUGUAUUGUGGAAAUGUAUUACCAACAGAGGUGCAGGUGCCAGCCUAUUGAAAUAAAGCGUCAAUGAGGGUGAGAAUCCUGUUUGUCAUGUGCAGCCCUUUGUGCACGGUGUAUAUUUGCUGAGUCACACUCCUUGGCAUUGGAAUGCAAAGUGGGUGGUAAGUUUCAUGUAAAGGUAAACAUGCAAUUGAGACUGAUAGCACACAAGUACCAUGAGGGAAAUAUGAAAAGGACUUUGAAAAGAGAAUUAAAUGAGUUUGUAUUUGCUGAACACAAAGUAAACAGACUUGAUUUGCUUGGUGGGAGUGUUGCACUUGCUUGACAAGAGCUUUGGGCUGUGGGUGUAAUGAUUCUUUCUUUGCAUGCCAGUUUCUAUUUGUACAUCUGAUUACCUUUGCACAUGAAUGAUAAGUCUCCUGUGGGGGGUGGAUUGCAUGUGCAUGUAAUGAUUUGUGUUUUGAUAAAUGUGUCUGGUGUAUGUGUGUGUUCCUGUGCUUGGGGAUGCUUCCUUCCUUGGACUUACAAGCCCUGACACACACAUGCUGGCAAAAUGCUUCUGCUUGACCCGUCUUGAAACACGGACCAAGGAGUCUAACAGAUGUGCAAAGUUUGAAGGUGGUAUACCUUUGUGUGCAAUGAAAGUGUCAGCUGGGAUAUGUGCACCAGCACCCAAUUAAUUAGCGGACAGAGGUUUGAGUUGGAGCAUAUCUAUUAGGACCCGAAAGAUGGUGAACUAUGCCUGAACAGAAUGAAUUCAGAGGAAACUCUGAUGGAGGUUCGUAUCGAUACUGACGUGCAAAUCGUUCGUCAUAUUUGGGUAUAGGGGCGAAAGACUAAUCGAACCAUUAGUAGCUGGUUCCCUCCGAAGUUUCCCUCAGGAUAGCUGGAGUUGCUCAGUUUUAUCAGGUAAAGCGAAUGAUUAGAGGAAUUGGGGACAGGUUUGUCUUUGACCUAUUCUCAAACUUUAAAUGGGUAAUAUGUAGUGGUUGCUGUAUGGAACUU
rnacentral:rRNA from 1 species